GACGAACGCUGGCGGCGUGCUUAACACAUGCAAGUCGAACGGAAAGGCCCUGCUUUUGUGGGGUGCUCGAGUGGCGAACGGGUGAGUAACACGUGAGUAACCUGCCCUUGACUUUGGGAUAACUUCAGGAGACUGGGGCUAAUACCGGAUAGGAGCUCCUGCUGCAUGGUGGGGGUUGGAAAGUUUCGGCGGUUGGGGAUGGACUCGCGGCUUAUCAGCUUGUUGGUGGGGUAGUGGCUUACCAAGGCUUUGACGGGUAGCCGGCCUGAGAGGGUGACCGGCCACAUUGGGACUGAGAUACGGCCCAGACUCCUACGGGAGGCAGCAGUGGGGAAUAUUGCACAAUGGGCGGAAGCCUGAUGCAGCAACGCCGCGUGCGGGAUGACGGCCUUCGGGUUGUAAACCGCUUUCGCCUGUGACGAAGCGUGAGUGACGGUAAUGGGUAAAGAAACACCGGCUAACUACGUG
rnacentral:rRNA from 1 species